GAUCAACGCUGACAGAAUGCUUAACACAUGCAAGUCGAUGAUGGGAGCUAGCUUGCUAGGAGAAGUCAUGGCGGACGGGUGAGUAACGUGUAAAGAACUUACCAUAUAGACUGGGAUAACAGAGGGAAACUUCUGAUAAUACUGGAUAAGUUAGUAGUAGCAUUACUAAGUAAUGAAAGGUAGCAAUACGCUAUAUGAGAGCUUUGCAUCCUAUUAGCUAGUUGGUGGGGUAAAAGCCUACCAAGGCGAUGAUAGGUAGCCGGCCUGAGAGGGUGGACAGCCACAAGGGGACUGAGAUACGGCCCUUACUCCUACGGGAGGCAGCAGUGGGGAAUAUUGGACAAUGGAGGCAACUCUGAUCCAGCAAUUCUGUGUGUGUGAAGAAGGCUUUAGGACUGUAAAACACUUUUAGUAGGGAAGAAAGAAAUGACGGUACCUACAGAAGAAGCGACGGCUAAAUACGUG
rnacentral:rRNA from 1 species